GGAGGGAUGGCCGAGUGGUUUAAGGCAGUGCUCUUGAAAAGCACCGUCGGGGCGACCCGACCGUGGGUUCGAAUCCCACUCCCUCCG
rnacentral:tRNA from 1 species